rnacentral:rRNA from 1 species
ACGCUCGACACCUACGGGAGCAGCAGUGGGGAAUAUUGCACAAUGGGGGAAACCCUGAUGCAGCGACGCCGCGUGAGUGAAGAAGUAUUUCGGUAUGUAAAGCUCUAUCAGCAGGGAAGAAAAUGACGGUACCUGAGUAAGAAGCCCCGGCUAACUACGUGCCAGCAGCCGCGGUAAUCUGAGGCGGGCUGGCAAGGC